rnacentral:rRNA from 1 species
AGUGAACGCUGGCGGUAGGCCUAACACAUGCAAGUCGAACGGCAGCACAGUAAGAGCUUGCUCUUACGGGUGGCGGGUGGCGGACGGGUGAGGAAUAUAUCGGAAUCUACUUUUUCGUGGGGGAUAACGUAGGGAAACUUACGAUAAUACCGCAUAUGAUCUACGGGUGAAAGCAGGGGAACUUCGGGGCUUGUGCGAUUGAAUGAGCGGAUGUCGGAUUAGCUAGUUGGCGGGGUAACGGCCUAGCCAGGCGACGAUCCGUAGCUGGACUGAGAGGAUGAUCAGCCGCACUGGAACUGGGCCACGGUCAAGACUCCUACGGGAGGCAGCAGUGGGGAAUAUUGGGCAAUGGGCGCAAGUCUGAUCCAGCCAUACCGCGUGGGUGAAGACGGCCUUCGGGUUGUAAAGCCCUUUUGUUGGGAAAGAAAAGCAGCAGGUUAAUACCCCGCUGUUCUGACGGUACCCAAUAAAUAAGCACCGGCUAACUUCGUG